rnacentral:lncRNA from 1 species
CCUUUAUUUUCUGGCCCUUUUCUACUAUGUUCCAUCUUUUCUUAUUCCAUACCCUUUCCCUAACAUGUCAAAUAAUGAGACUAAAAACAAUUCUAUUUAAUUUUUGACAGCUUGUUUUACUCAAAAAACUUUGAAGAGUAAAAGAGGAUGGGUUUACAUGUUAUGUUUCCUGAAAAAAAAAAUGUGUUCUCUUGAAUUUUCCAGUGAUACCCUUUUUUAUUUUUUUGGGAGCUUAAGUUUUACUAGAUUUUUUGUGCACAGAAAUAAUCGAAGUUCACAAUUUUAGGCUAGGGUAUUUCUGUCAGCACCAGCAAACCUGGCAUUGUUGGACUUCUUACAGGGGGGCCAGAAGCUGCAGUCUGUUCUCCCUCAGUACUCCUCUAUCUUUGAGUAAACCCCACUGCUUCCUUGAUAACCUGCCCCUCCACACUCCUCCUGUUUAUUUAUAUUUUCAUGUAUUCAUUCUAUCAACAAACAUUUUUGAAGAGACUUUUAUGUGCCAAGUACAGUGCUAAACAGAUGAGAAAUAACAGGCAUAGUCUUGAAGUUAGCUAAAGGAGCGAAUAGACUCAUGGAGAGAAAGCCAACUGUUCCACUUUAGUGCAGAGUUGUUAAAGGAUAUAACGGGGUAAUUAAGUGACACCACAGGGACUUUUAGGGGAUGCCCAACUUAGUGUUGUGGGGUUGAGGGGAGACUUCCCUAAAAAGUAACACUUGAGGUUGAGGGCUGUUAGCAGAAGUAGGAGAAAGCCAGGCAACUAGGGAUAUUUCCUUCUAACUUCUAUCUCCUCCCAUGCACGGAUUAUUCUGGUCUUGGCUGAGAGACUUCUCUUCCUAAUGUUCUGCAGUCAUCCUGGCUGACUUCAACAUCCAUGCAGAAGGCCCAACCAACACCCAAACUUCUAUUUCACCAUUUCCUCAACACCAGUGACCUUUGCCUGUUUUCUCUAUCAAAAUAUGAACAUGCCAAUGGCAAACCCUUUUUCAGCCAAAAUGUAUUAGGAUUUAUGUAAUUGAAUUCUCUGAAUAUUAAGCUAUGUUUAUUUUCCUUCUCUGCCCCCCCCAAAUUAACUUUUCUGAUUUUUCUUAUACCAUUAAAUUUCUUCAUCUCAGAAUCUCUGCUUUUAGAGGGAGAGGAUCUCUUACUUCUUUGCCCAGUCCUUAAAUGUUUCUUAUGCUUAGAAAUCUAUUAUACUUCUUCCAACUCACUCUACAUAUUUUCCAGAGAAUGGAUCAGUAGUGCUCUACAUGCUGACAUCUUCCAAAUAUUUAUUUAUAGCUGGGAUUCCUCCCUUGAAUUGUCAACCUCUAAUUAUAUAAAUUGCUUGGGUAUUUCUCUUGCACAUAUCACUGGUGACUUAGAGACAAUUUGUCUAACUUGAACUCAUAAUCUUCUUCCCUUCCCAACUUUGUUAUACCUUACUUUACAUCCUCAGUUGUUCCCUUUCUCUGAAAGAUGUCACUAUUGACCUUGUAGUUCAAUUCGGAAAUAUAUAACCUUUUCUCCCAAUACUCAUAUGGAAUUAAUCAUCAAGUUCUCCCAGGACUUGCCUAUUAAUAUAUCUAGAGGCCAGCUACUUCUCAGCAGUCCUGGCACUACUCUUUUAGUUUGAGUAACCACCCCUUUUUGUUAGUUUUGUGUCAUUCUAUUUGUAACAGGUCCAUUUUUGUUCCCAUUUAUUCUUUACCUUUCUUGUAAGAUCAUUACAGUUCCCCACAACAUUAACCUCAGCCUUGGCGAUUUGGCUAUCUUUGGUUACUGUAAAGAGAAUUGGUAUAUAUGGUUUUAAAUUAGAAACUUGCUAUCCCAUGACUUAGCCAUAGAGUUACCUUUUUAUUGUAAGGUAAAACAUAGAUGCAGAAAACACAGACACAGAUACAGAAAACAAAAUAUAAUAAGUAUGUGACUAAGAAAAAAAAACAUUUGUAAAAAAAAACCGAGAUCAAGAAAUAGAAUUAGACUAGGGACUUGAGGCCAUGAGAAGGUGGCUGUCUGCAAGCCAGGAAGAAAGAUCUCACCAGAAACCAACUGUGCUGGCACUUUAAUCGUGGACUUUGAGCCUCCAGAACUGUGAGAAAAUAAAUUUCUGUUGUUUAAGCCACCCAGACUGAAGCAUUCAGCUAUGGCAGCCCAAGCAGAUUGACACACAUGGGCGGGUAGGUAACCAAAGCAGACUGUAUGACUGUAUUAGAGUAUAGGGACAUUGAGGGAGAUACAUGAACUCUAUUUUUCUGGGCCAACCAGCUUUAAGAAUCAAACUCUGGAACUACUAGAAGCCACUAUUCCUGGCACAUAGAAAAACCUGCUAAUGUAUAAUAAAUAUAUCAAAGCUGAGGGAUGGUGAUGAGUGGAUGAGGGAUAGUGAUGAGUGGAUGAGGGAGGUGAGGAGGAGGAGAGACAGAGAGAGAAGCAGAUGCAUUGUUUGAAAUUCCAGAUGCAGUCAUGUCAGAAGCCACAAUGCCCACUGGGUUUCUUAGUUACGCGAGGCAAUAAAUCCCCUUCCCUUCUCUGCUUCCUUCUUUAAAUUUAAUGAUUCUUUCUUCUUAUACAUAAUGAUUCUGUUUUAAUGAGGUCUUCCUCAUAUACCCUCAGUAAGAACAUGAGUGAAGGCAGAAAAUGAGCUCACAAGAGCAAGAGCAGUAGGCAGCUAUUUGAGAAGGGUAGGUAAGCAGGCUUCAGAACAUGCCCUUACAUGGUAUUUAGAUUACUGAAACAAGGGGAGAGAAUGGUGAGUGGGUAAAAAGAAAUCAAAGAUUCAACUAAGAUCAGACUUUAUGUCUACAAAAGAUCAUUUCUGGUAGUUCUCCAAAUACAUAUCAGUAUUAUUUAUUUAAAUUACUUGAAACCCACUUCUUUAGGCAUUGUUAUUAAAGAGAAAAAGCUCCUUUGUCAGCAUUCUUUACACCAUUAAUAACCUUCCAUACCCUGUUAUACUCUCCCUUGGUUAAGGCCACUAAAUAAUUGCUUUAUUUGCAUAUUUGUACCAUGUCCACCUCAUUAUGGAUAAUCAAUGCACCUUAUUAAUAGCAUCAGUAUCAAAAAAGAGAGAAAAAUCAUAUAAUUUACCAAUGACAAAACAAAUUUACCAAGAUCUGUGGUAAUUUCCUUCUAAUUCCUAAGUCAAAGCACUGACUUUGAGACAGUGCAUAUGGUUUUUAGACCUCUACAGGAGACAAGAAAUUAUAAAAUUCACAGGCAAAUUGUGGCUACUGCACUAGCUAACAUUUAAUCUGUGAUGACUACAUACUCCUCGUGACUUUAAGAGCUUUAAGUAUUUUAACUCAUUUAAUUCUUAGAACAUUGCUAUGAGUUCUGUAAUACUAUUGUUGUUUACCGAAGAGGAAACUGAGGCACAGAAAGCCCAAGCUCUUGCACAAGGAUCAGAAGGGGGUAUAACCAGAAUUUGUUUCUCAGCAUCCUGACCAACAAUUAUUUUACCUACUAAACAGGGAAGCCUUUCAAAUAUAAUCCAGGGUAUCCGCUUCAUUUUACAACUAAAGAAAUGAAGGCUGGGUAAGGAUAAAGGACUCACAAAGAUCGUGUGUUUAGGUAAUGAUUGAACUAUGACAGAAACUCCCAUUCUCCAGAUUUCCAAUUCUGAACUCUCCCUUCUCUGUCUAUAAUAAAGUUCUCCAAACCAAAAAUAUAUAGUGACUUCAAUCAUCUAGGGACCUAACAUUUCUUACCAUUUUGAAGUGGCUUUGUAAUGUUUAACUUGGCUAGUCUGAACUUCGUUUUCUGGAAUUUCCUUUCUUGUAUGCUUCUGUUUAGGAUGGACCACAAAGACAUUCUUCUGUGAGACUUAGAGAAAGGAAGCAAAACAGGCACCAUGUUGUUGCUCACAUAUGUUGCUGCUGAUCUUUCAACUGACCUCAUUGGCAUGAGGCUACAGCUGGGCCUGAGACUGCUCUAUAUUUUCUUAAAUUGUCCUUCAGUUUCUUUGAUUCUUGGGCCAAGUGUGUGUGUUUAACUUCAUGAUGAAAAACUUCAACUACUUCAGAUCAUCCGUGCCAAAAAUUUCAGAGGCAGUGAGAACAUACACAGGUUUCAAUGUAAAUUCUCACUGGGUUUCAGCCUAUGCCUGUAGCUUCCAGCUUCUUCUAAAUCUCCCUGACUUUACAUAUGUCUUUCAUUACUGGCUUCCCAGCCACUCCAGUCAUUAUAUAAUGGGCUCAUAAAUAAAGUGGCCAUCAUGGCAGGAAUCAAGGUUAUCUAUGGCAUCACCAACAUGAAUUUUCUUUCACCCAAGCCAAUAUAGCUACAGCCAUUGCCGAAUACCCCGAAUUGCAGGAAUGGGGCCAUUCCUGCAAUAUGGCCCCAUUUCCUGAAGGAUCAGCCAGCUACCUGUUGCCAGGUUAAUUACAUUGGGCCACUUCUGUCAUUGUAGGCACAGCAUUUUGUUUUCACUGGUCAAGCUAUUAAUCUGGAUAUAGAUUUGCCUUCUUACUUGCAGUGCAUCUUCAAACUGUCCACAGAUUUACAGGAUAUCUUAUUCACCAUAUUCCACAUAGCAUCAUUUCUGACCAAGAAACUCAUUUCACAGCAAAUAAAGUGCAGCAAUACACCCAAACCCAUGGAAUUUACUGGUCUAAUCAUAUUCUCUAUUGUGCUGAAGCAGCUAGCUUGAUGGACUGAUGAAAUGGCCCUUUCAAGUCUUAUUCAUGACAGCAUCUGGGUGGCAACAUAAUGCAGGGCUAGAAAAAUGUCCUCCAGGAUAAAAUAUGUGCAUUAAAUCAGCAUAUGGUAUAUGACGUUGUUUCUCUAACAACUAGGAUUUACAUAUCUAGGAACCAAGGGGUAGAAAUAAGAAUGCUUCCUCUGAACAUUAUCCCUAGCAAUCCAAUAACUGGAUUUUUGUCUUCCAUCCUUACCACUUCAGUUUCUGCUGGUCUAGACAUCUGGGUUCCAAAAGAAGAAUGCAUCUCCCAGGAGACAUGACAAUGAUUCCAUUCAACAGGAAGUUGAGACUGCCACCUGAACACUUUGGGCUCCUCAUGCCUCUGAAUCAACGGGCAAAGAAGAGAGUUAUAGAUCCUAACCACCCAGGAGAAAUUCGGUGGCCACUACACAAACAGACUUUUCUGACUCUGCGGCCAGGUGUUUGUAUUUAACUCCACGGUGAGGAGACUCAUCUUCUGACGGACCUAACCUAUACCAUCAAGCUCCAGCACCACAAGCAAAGACAAAAACCUUGCGGAAACUAUUUAACUAACUCCCACAAUUGCAUAAGAAGAGUCAUGAUCCUAAGAACAGAAGGGAGAUCCCUGUUGCUUUGACUUCUUGCUGUCCUCCUGCUAUUUGGCUCAAAAUGCAAACUCAGUUAUGAGAAGUACAUAGAAGAACAGGUAAACUAAAGCCUGGGCUUUUUCACCAGAGGAUGUGGAAAAGAGGCUUCAGGAAAUUGAGAAGUAUUAUGGAGAUUGCAAAAAUGAGGGAGCUGAAGAAAGAGUUAGAAUGACAGUGAAUGUGAGAAGAGAGAGAGAUGAAUACCACGAAGUUGCGUAUGUACUGCUGGACUAUACCCUGAACUGAGCAUGUAAACAUCUGACCACAGAUGGUAUAAUAAGGCUUUGAAAACUAAGCUACAAUAAAGACCAUCACCCAGGCCAAAAAUUGCUACUUGGAAAUGCACACACAGACUGAUCCAAAUAGCAUUGAAAACACUUAAAGAAAUGGUGCAGACAUUGGAGUCACAAUCCAAAGAAGGCAGAUCAGAGUUUGUUCCAUAAGCCUGAAUAGGUUGAUUGCUUAAUAUAAGAAGAAAAUCAACCUUUUUCUUAUGAUUUAAGACAUAAUCAGAGUCUCAUAACAUAUUCUCAAAAUGCCCAGGAUAUAAUUUAAAAUUAUUUGGCAUAUGAGAAACCAGUGUGAUCGUCUCUUAACUCUUAAAGAAAAAGACAAUUAAAAAUAUCACAAUCAAAAUGACAGGAAUGUUGUAUUUAUCAGAUAAAGACAUUAAAGAGAUAUUAUAACCAUGCUCUAACAGGCAAAUGAAAAGACUCAUAAUGAAUAGAAAAAUAGAAGGUCUCAGCAAAGAGAAAGAAUAUAUGAAGAUGAAAAAUGGAAAUUUUAGAACUGGACAAUGUGACAGUCCAAAGAGAAAAUUCACUGGAUGGACUAAAUAGGAUAAUGGAGAUAACAGAGGAAAAGAGGCAGAUGACUUGAAUACCGAUCAUGAGAAAUUAACUAUUUCAAAGAAGAGAGUAAAAAGAGACUUAAAAAUAAAAUGAACAGAGCCUCUGAGUCCUGUGAAACAAUGUCAAAAAGCCUAAUAUUGGUGUCAUCUGAACCACAGAAGGAGGAAGAAAGUAUGAGAAAAAAUAUCUAAAGAAAAAUAGCCAGAAACUUCCUUAAUUUGGCGAAAGAUAAAAUCUUAAAGAUGCCUGAGGAGGCUCAGGAAACUCUAAGGAGAAGAAGCUACAAAAAAUCUACACUCUAAAACUUCUGAAAUUAAAAAACAAAGAAAAAAUUUUUGAAUGCACCCAGAAACUCAAUACAAAUGGAGAAUUCUGAUUUGAAUACUGUAUAUUUUAUAUAAGGAAACAUGGUAGUUAAGGGGAAGUGGAACAACAUUUUUUAAGUGAUGCAAAAAAUGAUUCUAUAUUCAGAAAUCUUUAUCCAGUAAAAAUAUUCUUGAUAAAUGAAAAUCAAAUAAAGAUAUUCCUGAUGAAACUAAACUAAGAGCAUUUGCUGUCAGUAAGAAACCUGUAACACCAGGAAUAAAGGAAGAGUAACAGAUUUGGUAAAAUAUAAGAGACUAUUCUUCUCUCCUUCAGUUCUUUAAAAUAUGCACAAUGAUUAAAAACAUAAAUUAUAACAAAAUAUACAACAUAAAAGGAGAAUAAAUGUACCUAUAUUUUGAUGAUUUUCUGCUUACCCUUUAAAGUGAUAAAAUAUUGACUCUAAAUAGAAUGUAAAAAAGUAAGUAUAUGUGUCAUAAUCCCUACAGGGAAACGACCAAAAAUACUAUACAAAGUGAUAUCUUCAAAAACUCAAUGAUAAAUUAAAAUAGAAUACUGAAAAAGAAAAAAAAAAGCAUUUACCUAAUCCCAAAGAAGGCAGCAAAGGGGAGACAAAAAAAUGAAAAAGAAAAAUUAGAAAACCAGCAGUAAAAUGGUAGAUCUAAAUUUAAACAUGCUGAUAAUUCUAUUAAAUUUGAAUGUUUUAAACUCAUCACUUGAAAUACAGAGAUUGUCAAGAUAUCUUUAAUUUUUUAAGAAAACAACCCAUAUCUAUCUACAACAACCCUAGUUUAUAUAUAAUUAGAGUAAAAGUAAAUGGAUGGCAAAAAUGGUAUACAACAACUAAUCAAAAGAAAACUGUAGUAGCUAUAUGUUAACA